CCUACGGGUGGCAGCAGUCGAGAAUCAUUCACAAUGGGGGAAACCCUGAUGGUGCGACGCCGCGUGGGGGAAUGAAGGUCUUCGGAUUGUAAACCCCUGUCAUGUGGGAGCAAAUUAAAAAGAUAGUACCACAAGAGGAAGAGACGGCUAACUCUGUGCCAGCAGCCGCGGUAAUACAGAGGUCUCAAGCGUUGUUCGGAAUCACUGGGCGUAAAGCGUGCGUAGGCUGUUUCGUAAGUCGUGUGUGAAAGGUGCGGGCUCAACCCGCGGACGGCACAUGAUACUGCGAGACUAGAGUAAUGGAGAGGGAGCCGGAAUUCUCGGUGUAGCAGUGAAAUGCGUAGAUAUCGAGAGGAACACUCGUGGCGAAGGCGGGUUCCUGGACAUUAACUGACGCUGAGGCACGAAGGCCAGGGGAGCGAAAGGGAUUAGAUACCCGAGUAGUC
rnacentral:rRNA from 1 species